rnacentral:rRNA from 1 species
UUUAAGAAUUUAAUUUAAAGUCUAACCUGCCCACUGAAAAUUUUAAAUGGCCGCAGUAUUUUAACUGUGCAAAGGUAGCAUAAUCAUUAGUCUUUUAAUUGAAGGCUGGAAUGAAUGGUUGAAUGAAAUAUUAACUGUUUCAAAAAAAUUUAUAAUAAAAUUUUAUUUUUUAGUGAAAAAGCUAAAAUUUAUUUAAAAGACGAGAAGACCCUAUAAAUCUUUAUAUUGAAUUAAUUUUAAUUAUGUAGAUAAAUUUAAUUAUUAUUAAGUAUAUAUUUUAUUGGGGUGAUAUUAAAAUUUAAUAAACUUUUAAUUAUAUGAUUUAUACAUAAAUUAAUGAAUUUUUGAUCCAUAAAUUAUGAUUAAAAAAUUAAGUUACUUUAGGGAUAACAGCGUAAUUUUUUUAAAGAGUUCAUAUUGAUAAAAA